rnacentral:lncRNA from 1 species
CUCUGCCACAACCCUGUCUACAAGAAGCGAGAUGAGCACACCCUCCUCUGUUAAAUAUUGCAAGGUGACACUGGAUCGCCUCCCACACAGGGAUUUUCAAAAGGUCUGGCGGGGGGACUACAGUAAACAAGAAAGGUGUUUUCCCUGAUUAUUAGUUUCCUAGGGAAGAGCCCCUAAGGACUCUGCAGACGGAGGGGCUUUUAAUCUGUGUGCCUGAACUCCAAUCAGCAGCUACGCACAGAAUUAGAAGUGUGUCCAAAAGGCGUUUCCGUAAAACAGAAACUUAAUAAUGGCGUGGCUCCACUCGCUCGGGUUCAUUCAUUU